CUACGGGAAGCAGCAGCAAGGAAUUUUCGUCAAUGGCGCAAGCCUGACGAGCAACGCCGCGUGGAGGAUGACGGCUUCGGGUGUAAACUCCUUUGUGGGGGAUGAUACUGACAGUACCCCGCGAAUAAGGCUCGGCUAACUCUGUGCCAGCAGCCGCGGUAAUACAGAGGAGCCAAGCGUUGUCCCGGAUUGACUGGGCGUAAAGCGCACGCAGGUGGUCGUGCAAGUGUCGUGUGAAAGCAGCUCGCUCAACGAGCUGAGGCAUGGCAGACUGCAUCACUCGAGCCCGUGAGAGGUCGGUGGAAUUGCCGGUGUAGUAGUGAAAUACGUAGAGAUCGGCAGGAACACCCAAGGGGAAGCCAGCCGACUGGCACGGUGCUGACACUGAGGUGCGACAGCGUGGGGAGCAGACGGGAUUAGAUACCCCGGUAGUCCACGCCGUAAACGAUGGAUACUCGCCCUAUGGCGGCUCAAUGCCGUUGUGGGGCCAAGUUAACACGCUAAGUAUCCCGCCUGGGAACUACGAGCGCAAGCUUAAAACUCAAAGGAAUUGACGGGGGCCCGCACAAGCAGCGGAGCGUGUGGUUUAAUUCGACGCAACGCGCAGAACCUUACCCAGGUUUGACAUGCAGCUGCAAGCUUCUCAAAGGAAGCUGCCUUCGAGGGUGCUGCACAGGUGCUGCAUGGCUGUCGUCAGCUCGUGUCGUGAGAUGUUGGGUUAAGUCCCGCAACGAGCGCAACCCUUGCGGCCAGUUACUUGUGUCUGGCCGGACUGCCCCUUUGGGGAGGAAGGCGGGGAUGACGUCAAGUCCGCAUGGCCCUUACACCUGGGGCGACACACACGCUACAAUGCCGCCGAUAAUGCGCAGCGACCCUGCAAGGGCAAGCGAAUCGGCAAACGGCGGCCUAGUGCAGAUUGAGGGCUGCAACUCGCCCUCAUGAAGACGGAGUUGCUAGUAACCGCGCAUCAGCAAUGGCGCGGUGAAUACGUUCCCGGG
rnacentral:rRNA from 1 species